rnacentral:rRNA from 1 species
GCAGUAGCCGCGGUAAUACGGAGGGUGCAAGCGUUAAUCGGAAUUACUGGGCGUAAAGCGCACGCAGGCGGUCUGACAAGUCAGAUGUGAAAUCCCCGGGCUUAACCUGGGAACUGCAUUUGAAACUGUCAGGCUGGAGUCUUGUAGAGGGGGGUAGAAUUCCAGGUGUAGCGGUGAAAUGCGUAGAGAUCUGGAGGAAUACCGGUGGCGAAGGCGGCCCCCUGGACAAAGACUGACGCUCAGGUGCGAAAGCGUGGGGAGCAAACAGGAUUAGAUACCCCUGUAGUCCCUGUCUCUUAUAC